rnacentral:tRNA from 1 species
CUGUGGCUCAAUGGUAGAGCACCAGGUUGGUAUGCAGAAGGUCCCAGGUUCAAUCCCUGUCAUAAAGA